rnacentral:lncRNA from 1 species
GCAUCUACGCCCCGCGUCCCAGGCCGGGUAUGCCCAACGUACUUCGGUUCUUAUCUCUUCCGAGGAAAUGCGAGACAGCUGGGUCCAGAUGGCGCCUUAUCCGAAGAACGCCCAGCGUAGCCAAGGACUACGCCCAGCGUAAUCCGAGGCCUCGCUGGGUAUAAAAAGGGGCGAGGGUCUCCGGGUUUUUCAUACUUUUUCACACCAUUUCCUCUCUCUCUCUCUAGCUCCCAAACCACCCCUAAACCCUAGAUAAAAUCCCUAGCUCCCGAGGGAAGCCCCGAGGCUCCCGAAGUCCCGAGAAAAAGGAGUUUUUCGGUUUCGAAACGCUGCUCCAAUUAAGUUCCGGUUUUCGAUAAAAUUCGCUGUUUUAUCGAAGGAAUAUUGUUUUGAGAGUAUCGAAGCGCUGUCCGAGUGCUGAGUCACCACCUACUCAGGUGAGUGCAUAGUCCCUUUCAUCUUACACAUAGAUAUGAAGUAUUUUAUAUAAACUACGUGCUAUGUGUGCAUAUUAUCUGAAUACUUGCUGUCUAUGUUGGAUGAACGUUUUAUACAUGUUUUAAAGGAUUUAAACUGUAUACGUAUUUUAUAUAUACGAAUAUGUUGGGUAUGAGAUGGGUAGAUGAAUGAUGAGAGAUAGAAGAUGACGUGAGUAUAUAUUGGCAGCUAUAGACUUAGUGCCUAUGAGACGAACACCGGUAGCUAUGGACUUAGUACCUUUUAGACGUUGGUAGCUAUGGAUUUAGUACCUGUUGGGAAUUGGUAGCUAUGGACUUAGUACCUAUUAGUUAGACGCUGGUAGCUAAGGAUUUAGUACCUGUAGGAAUUGGUAGCUAUGGACUUAGUACCUGUUGAACAUUGGUAGCUAUGGACUUAGUACCUAUUAGAUAAAGACUGGUAGCUAUGGAUUUAGUACCCGAUGAAUAGACUAUAGCAGCUAUGGAAUUAGUGCUUUAUGAACGAACAUCGGCAGCUAUGGAUUUAGUGCCAGUCCUAUAACCCUGGAAGUAAGGGACUUCGGAAUAAACGAAUGCAGGAUAGAUGACUCUUAGGUUAAAUCCUUAAGAGUAAAGAAGAUAACGGGGAUGGGUAAUUGGGUUAAUUGUUUGAUGAUUG